rnacentral:rRNA from 1 species
GAUGAACGCUGGCGGCGUGCCUAAUACAUGCAAGUCGAGCGAAACGACGAGGAGAUCGCUCGUUUGACGUUAGCGGCGGAGGGGUGAGUAACAAAUGGAUAACCUACCUAUAAGACUGGGGUAACUACGGGAAAGCGGAGCUAAUACCAGAUAAUAUAAUGAACCACAUGGUUCAAUAGUGCAAGGCGGCUUUGUUGUCACUGAUAGAUGGAUCCGCGUCGCAUUAGCUAGUUGGUAAGGUAACGGCUUACCAAGGCAACGAUGCGUAGCCGACCCGAGAGGGUGAUCGGCCACACUGGAACUGAGACACGGUCCAGACUCCUACGGGAGGCAGCAGUAGGGAAUCUUCCACAAUGGGCGAAAGCCUGACGGAGCAACGCCGCGUGAGUGAUGAAGGUCUUCGGAUCGUAAAACUCUGUUAUUAGGGAAGAACAAAUGUGUAAGUAACUAUGCACGUCUUGACGGUACCUAAUCAGAAAGCCACGGCUAACUACGUG